CCUACGGGAGGCAGCAGUGGGGAAUUUUGCGCAAUGCUCGUAAGAGUGACGCAGCGACGCCGCGUGAAUGACGAAGGCCUUCGGGUCGUAAAGUUCUUUCGACAGGGAAGAAAAUGCCUAUAAGUAACUGUGUAUGUAUUGACGGUACCUGUAUAAGCAGCCCCGGCUAACUCCGUGCCAGCAGCCGCGGUAAUACGGAGGGGGCGAGCGUUGUUCGGAGGGACUGGGCGUAAAGAGCACGUAGGCGGUGUUGUAAGUCAUUAGUCAAAGACUAGAGCUCAACUUUAGUAAGGCUAGUGAUACUAUAAUACUAGAGUAUCAGAGAGGAUUGCAGAAUGCAUGGUGUAGCGGUGAAAUGCGUAGAGAUCAGGAGGAAUACCGUUAGCGAAGGCGGCAAUCUGGCUGGAAACUGACGCUGAGGUGCGAAAGCGUGGGUAGCAAACAGGAUUAGAUACCCUGGUAGUC
rnacentral:rRNA from 1 species